rnacentral:rRNA from 1 species
AUACGUAGGUGACAAGCGUUAUCCGGAUUUAUUGGGUUUAAAGGGUGCGUAGGCGGUUUGCUAAGCGGGAGGUGAAAUGCCGGCGCUCAACGUCGGAAGUGCCUCCCGAACUGGUGGACUCGAAUGACUCUGCGGUGGGAGGACUGUGUAGUGUAGCGGUGAAAUGCUUAGAGAUUACACAGAACACCGAUUGCGAAGGCAUCUCACGAAGGGUUGAUUGACGCUGAGGCACGAAAGCGUGGGGAUCAAACAGGAUUAGAUACCCUGGUAGUCCACGCAGUAAACGAUGAUGGCUAACCGCUGGGCUUAUCAGUUCAGUGGCCAAGCGAAAGCGAUAAGCCAUCCACCUGGGGAGUACGACCGCAAGGUUGAAACUCAAAUGAAUUGACGGGG